UUUAUCUUCUCUGAGUACUUCCUCCAAAUUUAAUGAUACAACAUGUGACCUUUUGCGUCUGGAUUUUUUACUUAGCAUUAUUGUCUCAUUUUAUUUUGAUUAUCUAUACUAUUAAGAAUUUUACUUUAGCUGUUGGUAUUUAACAUUCAGUGUAUUGAUGUUAUAAUAUAUUCUUUUUUGAUGUUUUAUCCGCCAAGCCCAAAUCGUUCUUUCAUUUAUUUUAUUUCAUGUAUUUACUUUGAUCAGGGAAUUCUGAUCGCCCUGUUACCUUAGAAGACCUGAAGAAACUUAAAUAUCUGGAGUGUGUUAUUAAGGAGACCCUUCGUAUUUUUCCUUCUGUGCCUAUAAUUGCCCGUGGUCUUAAUGAAGAUUGUGAUGUUGGGGGGUACAACAUCGUGAAAGGCUCUCAAAUACUCAUCGUUCCCUACGCACUGCAUAGAGACCAAAAGUACUUCCCUGACCCUGAGGAGUUCAAGCCAGAGCGGUUCUUUCCCGAGAAUUCGAUGGGACGCCAUCCAUAUGCAUAUGUGCCCUUCUCUGCUGGACCCAGAAACUGUAUAGGUCAAAGGUUUGCCAUGAUGGAAGAAAAGGUAAUUCUUUCAUGCAUCCUGAGGCAUUUUUGGGUAGAAUGCAACCAGAAAAGAGAAGAACUUGGUCUGGCAGGAGAGCUGAUUCUUCGUCCUACUAAUGGCAUCUGGAUCAAGUUGAAGAGGAGAAACACAGAUGCAUCCUAACUCUAUGAUUGGCUGUGCCUUAGUAGGAAUAAAGUCUUUCUUUAAGAGAA